rnacentral:tRNA from 1 species
GCCCUUGUGGUGUAACCGUAGCACACUCACCGCGUAUUCGAGAGAUCCAGGUUCGAAUCCCGGCGAGGGCA